rnacentral:rRNA from 1 species
UACGUAGGGUGCAAGCGUUUGUCCGGAAUUAUUGGGCGUAAAGAGCUCGUAGGCGGUCUGUCGCGUCUGCUGUGAAAACUCAGGGCUUAACCCUGAGCUUGCAGUGGGUACGGGCAGACUAGAGUGCGGUAGGGGAGACUGGAAUUCCUGGUGUAGCGGUGAAAUGCGCAGAUAUCAGGAGGGAACACCCGGUGGGCGAAAGG